rnacentral:rRNA from 1 species
AAGCGCAUGUGCUGUGAGCUCGAUGAGUAGGGCGGGACACGUGGUAUCCUGUCUGAAUAUGGGGGGACCAUCCUCCAAGGCUAAAUACUCCUGACUGACCGAUAGUGAACCAGUACCGUGAGGGAAAGGCGAAAAGAACCCCGGCGAGGGGAGUGAAAAAGAACCUGAAACCGUGUACGUACAAGCAGUGGGAGCCCCACCACCAAAGCAUUCUCUGGUGUUGAAGGCCCUGCAAAGCAGCAUCGCGGUGGCGGAGCGUCGUUUGCGACGCCCAACACACAAAACAAGCGGUGAGUGCUUUGGGGUGGGGUGACUGCGUACCUUUUGUAUAAUGGGUCAGCGACUUAUAUUCUGUAGCAAGGUUAACCGAAUAGGGGAGCCGGAGGGAAACCGAGUCUUAAUUGGGCGUUAAGUUGCAGGGUAUAGACCCGAAACCCGGUGAUCUAGCCAUGGGCAGGUUGAAGGUUGGGUAACACUAACUGGAGGACCGAACCGACUAAUGUUGAAAAAUUAGCGGAUGACCUGUGGCUGGGGGUGAAAGGCCAAUCAAACCGGGAGAUAGCUGGUUCUCCCCGAAAGCUAUUUAGGUAGCGCCUCGUGAAUUCAUCUCCGGGGGUAGAGCACUGUUUCGGCUAGGGGGCCAUCCCGGCUUACCAACCCGAUGCAAACUGCGAAUACCGGAGAAUGUUAUCACGGGAGACACACGGCGGGUGCUAACGUCCGUCGUGAAGAGGGAAACAACCCAGACCGCCAGCUAAGGUCCCAAAGUCAUGGUUAAGUGGGAAACGAUGUGGGAAGGCCCAGACAGCCAGGAUGUUGGCUUAGAAGCAGCCAUCAUUUAAAGAAAGCGUAAUAGCUCACUGGUCGAGUCGGCCUGCGCGGAAGAUGUAACGGGGCUAAACCAUGCACCGAAGCUGCGGCAGCGACACUCAGGUGUUGUUGGGUAGGGGAGCGUUCUGUAAGCCUGCGAAGGUGGCCUGUGAGGGUUGCUGGAGGUAUCAGAAGUGCGAAUGCUGACAUAAGUAACGAUAAAGCGGGUGAAAAGCCCGCUCGCCGGAAGACCAAGGGUUCCUGUCCAACGUUAAUCGGGGCAGGGUGAGUCGACCCCUAAGGCGAGGCCGAAAGGCGUAGUCGAUGGGAAACGGGUUAAUAUUCCCGUACUUGGUGUUACUGCGAAGGGGGGACGGAGAAGGCUAUGUUGGCCGGGCGACGGUUGUCCCGGUUUAAGCGUGUAGGUGUGUGUUCCAGGUAAAUCCGGUUCACUUUAACACUGAGGCGUGAUGACGAGGCACUACGGUGCUGAAGCAACAAAUGCCCUGCUUCCAGGAAAAGCCUCUAAGCAUCAGGUAACAUCAAAUCGUACCCCAAACCGACACAGGUGGUCAGGUAGAGAAUACCAAGGCGCUUGAGAGAACUCGGGUGAAGGAACUAGGCAAAAUGGUGCCGUAACUUCGGGAGAAGGCACGCUGACAUGUAGGUGAAGUGAUUUACUCAUGGAGCUGAAGUCAGUCGAAGAUACCAGCUGGCUGCAACUGUUUAUUAAAAACACAGCACUGUGCAAACACGAAAGUGGACGUAUACGGUGUGACGCCUGCCCGGUGCCGGAAGGUUAAUUGAUGGGGUCAGCGCAAGCGAAGCUCCUGAUCGAAGCCCCGGUAAACGGCGGCCGUAACUAUAACGGUCCUAAGGUAGCGAAAUUCCUUGUCGGGUAAGUUCCGACCUGCACGAAUGGCGUAAUGAUGGCCAGGCUGUCUCCACCCGAGACUCAGUGAAAUUGAACUCGCUGUGAAGAUGCAGUGUACCCGCGGCAAGACGGAAAGACCCCGUGAACCUUUACUAUAGCUUGACACUGAACAUUGAGCCUUGAUGUGUAGGAUAGGUGGGAGGCUUUGAAGCGUGGACGCCAGUCUGCGUGGAGCCGACCUUGAAAUACCACCCUUUAAUGUUUGAUGUUCUAACGUGGACCCGU